CUUACAGAACAGUUUCCCAAGCAGCAGCCUGCCUGAUCCACCCUUAAUUCAGCUGUGCGUCUGACAACAUGUUCUACAGGAAAGAUAACCUUGUACAUCAGGUGUUUCCUGUUUCCAGUACCAAAAACUUGCCACACUUUCUCUCACUCUCUGGACAGUCAGACAAGAAGGCUCACUUUCUCCAGGAAUCUCCUAGUGCCAGGUUCUGGGCUGUGGACACCAUGCUGGCCAGAGGAAGCUGCUGCACAGUGUCUUCCUUUGGCUUUGGUAUCAAGGUAAUGCUGGCCUCAUAAGUUGUCUCCCUUUAUCCAUGAGGGACAUCUUCCAAGGCCCCCAGUGGAUGUCUGAAACCGCAGCAUACUUUUGUCCAUAAAGCAAAAUCCGAAGAUUAGUGUUAAGAAACAGGAUUUGGAACUCUCAGAACAAGGCCAUUGGGGGUGGAGAUUUCUUACCUAUGGCUUAAAGAGGCUUCCGAGGUGAUCGGGCAGCAUCAGUCUUCAGCUGCUAAGCCGAGAAGAUCUGGGAAGG
rnacentral:lncRNA from 10 species